rnacentral:rRNA from 1 species
GUUGCCAAAUACCUCGUCAUCAAUUUAGUGACGCAUAUGAUAUUGUCUCUAUCAUAUAAUUAAUAUAAAGACUUUAAUGAUUUGUGUCACGUUGCCAAACACCUCGUCAUCAAUUUAGUGACGCAUAUGAUAUUGUCCCUAUCAUAUAAUUAAUAUAAAGACUUUUUAAAGAAUUGUAUCAAG